GAAAAUGUAAUGUUAAUUGGGAAACCAAAGGAUUUCUCAGGCUUUUACUCUCCUUGUAACGCUCAAUAUCAAUCUUCAGUUUAUUUGUAUUCAUCUCGUUCUUCAAUUAGAAAAGCAAUAUACGCAUAGAGAGAGUCACAGGGUGGAAGUGGGUUUACAAUGAAGAUUUGAGAGAAACUUUGGAGAAUCAAGGAAGAAGAUCAAGUAUUCUACACUAUCUGAUCAAGCUAAGGAGGAAUCAAGAGGUAAGAAAGAAACUUCAAAACUCCUAAUCUCUAUUCCUUAAGUUUUUUGUUUAAGUUUGAGAAAUUCAAUUGUGUGAUUUCAGUUGAUAGAUAAACUGUUGGAUGAUCUGAUAAUAGCAUACAAGUAAAAUAAAAGCAAAUAAAUCUGAGUUUAAUACCCUUUGGAUUUGAUAUCUCUAUGGACGACCUUUGGUUCAAGGCCCUCAUAGAGAUAGGCCAAGAUGCAUUAACACGGAAGUUGAAAUAAACAUCCAACCUAAAUUCACAAGAAAUUAUUUGCAAAGGAGGAGCACAAGGAAACAAAAUCAGAAAUUCAAAGUUUAAUACCCUUUUGCAGUCCCCAAAAUAAUAUUCAUACGAAUAUCCCACGUCAAGGGGCUGACUUCCCCCACAUCUCCAUGAAGCCACUGGUCCAAAUUCCCAUUGUCCACAUACUCAUAAACAAGCAUCCUAAACAUAACUUCGUCAUAGUAAGCACUUCACACAGCAUUAUAUAUAGCAUAGCAUAAAAACAUUUUAGCAGUUUUAAUUUAGGAUCUAUUGGCAGUUGGUACAUCUAAAAAAUCCUUCAAAAGUCAAGGGCAUCACAUGAGCCUACUUUUGAUGUCUUACAUAACAUACUGUGUAAAAAAAACACAAUCAAGACCGCAAAUUUCCAUGUAAUUUCUUUCAGACAUAAUUAAAAAAAAUCUAUGAAAAUAUUGUGACACAAUUGUAUUAUAGAUCUUGAAAAAAAGACUAAGCUUGUUUAUUCAUAAUAAAUUAUGAAGUUGAUAUAUAAGCAUCAUAAUUUAUUCAAAAUUCAUAAUAAAACCCAAGCUUAUAUAAGCUUGACAUCUUCAUUUCAUAUUCAAAGAAGAAAACCCAACAAAUAGUAUCAACUGAACACCAACCUACAAAAUAUGUGAGUUUGUCAGUAAUGAUGAUGUAAAGACACCACAUACUGAAAGAGGUGCAGUCCCAACUCACAUGUUCACAUUAACUUCAGAGUCCCCAACUCAAAAAUAGCAUUCCAAUACUAACCUUUGCGGUUGCCAUCCAUAUAUCCUUGUAUGUUGAAUCAAUCACUGGGUCAAUGAUUUGGCCUAUCUUGAAACAGGGGAAAAAAGAAGCAUAGAUCAUCCAUUAUAUUUUCAGUGAUUGUCCCUUGGAUGAGAGAUAUUUUGAAACGCAACGAACCUCUCCAGCAUGAAGACCAAGGUGCUCAGACCAAAGUGAAUGGCGAAGACUAAAAGCAAAC
rnacentral:lncRNA from 1 species